AUACGGAGGAUCCGAGCGUUAUCCGGAUUUAUUGGGUUUAAAGGGAGCGUAGGCGGACUAUUAAGUCAGCUGUGAAAGUUUGCGGCUCAACCGUAAAAUUGCAGUUGAUACUGGUCGUCUUGAGUGCAGUAGAGGUGGGCGGAAUUCGUGGUGUAGCGGUGAAAUGCUUAGAUAUCACGAAGAACUCCGAUUGCGAAGGCAGCUCACUAGACUGUUACUGACACUGAUGCUCGAAAGUGUGGGUAUCAAACAGGAUUAGAUACCCUGGUAGUCCACACAGUAAACGAUGAAUACUCGCUGUUUGCGAUAUACAGUAAGCGGCCAAGCGAAAGCAUUAAGUAUUCCACCUGGGGAGUACGCCGGCAACGGUGAAACUCAAAUGAAUUGGCGGGG
rnacentral:rRNA from 1 species